rnacentral:sRNA from 1 species
AAGGACCUGAGUAAGAUGAAGAGCCUUCUGGACAUUCUGACAGACCCCUCGAAGCGGUGUCCCCUGAAGACCUUGCAAAAGUGUGAGAUCGCCCUGGAGAAACUCAAGAAUGACAUGGCGGUGGGCCCCAGUGGUGUGCACCCGGAAGCGCAGGCUUGAGGAUGAUGAGCGGCAGAGCAUCCCCAGUGUGCUCCAGGGUGAGGUGGCCAGGCUGGACCCCAAGUUCCUGGUAAACCUGGACCCUUCUCACUGCAGCAACAAUGGCACUGUCCACCUGAUCUGCAAGCUGGGUGAGUGUCCAGAGGGCCAGGACUGGUGUGGGAAAGCAGGCCCUGACCGCAGCCCCAGGACUCUGCCAUCCAAGCCAGAUGGCACAGCGCCCAGAACCCACCCUGUGUUCACGCCCCGCCAGGCUGUCUGCUCUAUCCUCACACACACCGGGCUCCAGACAGCCUGGCCAUGCCUCAGUCCCCACUGCCAGAGCCCGCACACUCUCACCUCCCCAACACAGAUGUGGCUUUGCUUGCCUGGGCCCUAAGGAGGUGGUAGGCAGGACCUCUGGGCACCCAUCAAUGCAGAGCACUCCAGGCUUCACGUUUGGAAAUCUGAGAGUCAGAGAGACCUCCUCCAGGCUUUGCCACAAGCUUCACCAGAACCUCCCAGGGUGUGGAGUCCUGUUCCAGAGCAGGGCUGUGAGGCAGGGCAGGCCGGGGCUUGUCCAGGUCACAGAUAGAGCCUUCUGUGUUGCAGAUGACAAGGACCUCCCAAGUGUGCCACCACUGGAGCUCAGUGUCCCCGCUGACUAUCCUGCCCAAAGCCCGCUGUG